rnacentral:rRNA from 1 species
GACGAACGCUGGCGGCGUGCUUAACACAUGCAAGUCGAACGGUAAGGCCCUUCGGGGGUACACGAGUGGCGAACGGGUGAGUAACACGUGGGUGAUCUGCCCUGCACUUCGGGAUAAGCCUGGGAAACUGGGUCUAAUACCGGAUAGGACCACUGCCUGCAUGGGUGGUGGUGGAAAGCUUUUGCGGUGUGGGAUGGGCCCGCGGCCUAUCAGCUUGUUGGUGGGGUGAUGGCCUACCAAGGCGACGACGGGUAGCCGGCCUGAGAGGGUGAGCGGCCACACUGAGACUGAGAUACGGGCCAGACUCCUACGGGAGGCAGCAGUGGGGAAUAUUGCACAAUGGGCGCAAGCCGGAUGCAGCGACGCCGCGUGAGGGAUGACGGCCUUCGGGUUGUAAACCUCUUUCAGCACCGACGAAGCGCAAGUGACGGUAGGUGCAGAAGAAGGACCGGCCAACUACGUGCCAGCCGCCGCAGUAA